UCCAAAAUAAAAAUAAAAAAUGGAGGGAGCUCUGCAACUUCCGAUUAUUGAUCUUAGCUCUACAGAUCGCACCUUACUCGCUGAUUCGCUCCGCAAGGCAUGCGUUGAGGAUGGAUUCUUUUGCUUGAUAAAUCAUGGGAUAGAAGAAGAAUUGAUUCAAAAAGUUUUCGAAGGGAGCAGAAAGUUUUUUGGUCUCUCACUUGAAUAAAAGAUGAAGCUGCUUCGUAAGAAUCAUAGAGGUGAGCCAAAAGAAAGCAUCUAUUUUGGAGCACCUGAAGACAUAUCUGAUGAUGUCCAUCUCAUUGAAGAAGUAUUAGGCAUGUGCCUAAUAAGAGUUUUCUUUGGU